GCCUGGUGGGCUCAGUCAGUAGAGCAUGUGACUCUUGAUCUCAGGGUUGUGAGUUCGAGCCCCAUGUUGGGUG
rnacentral:tRNA from 1 species